rnacentral:lncRNA from 10 species
CCCAGCUACUCGGGAGGCUGAGGCAGAAGAAUCACUUGAGCCCAGGAGGCAGAGGUUGCAGUGAGCCAGGAUAGUGCCACUGCACUCCAGCCUGGGCGACAGAGCAAGACUCUAUCUCAAAACAAAAACAAAAACAAAAAACAUGUAACAUAGCUCCACUGUACAGCGUUUGCUUACAGAGGUUGCUUCUGCAAUGAAGAGAAUUAGGCAUCUGACUUGAGGUAUGAUUACAGACUGCAGUGAAAGCUGGAAGUUGAAAAGUGGAAGAGUUAUGUGCUGAGUAUAAAUUCUGGUGCACCAAAGGUUCUAUUACUUUCUAUCUCAAAAUCAAAUUUCAAUUGCUCUGGGCUCCUACCCAAUGACUAGCAGAAAGUUCAAUCCUCAUAGAUUCCUGAGUCUGUCACUCACUCCUCCUCCACUUGGUCAGAAAGUCCCUGGGCUCCUGUGGCCUUAGAAAAGUGGCCCAGCUGUCUAUGGCCAUGUCACCCUGAACAUUCUCCGUCUGUCUGAUCUUGGAAGCUAGGCAGGGUCGGGCCUGGUUAGUACUUGGAUGGGAGAAAAGUGGGGCAGGGGCUGAGCUAAGGCCUUCGUCCAUGAUCCCAGCAUCUCUCAAGUUGAUCCUUGGGUUCCAGGAUGCUACGGAUAAGCUCUGGUCCCUGCCAAGACAUGGUCUCUGUAUGUCAGGCUUUGCUGCUCUGGGGGUGACAAUGAUAGCCCCAUAGAGGUUCUCUUCAUUGACUGAAAGGACCUCAUGCACAGGGUGUGCUCAUACAUGCUUGAGGGGCAGUCAAUUCCCCUCUGGUCAGUUUCUGCCUCCCACACUCCUUCUAACUGCUCCCAUUUGGUUAUUUCCACAGAACUGCCCCACCUGCCCCUGCAAUGAGUCUUCACACAUACCAUACUGGCCUCUCCUUCUCAGGGAUGGGAGCGAGUGGAGAAUGGCGAGUAUAACUUAGCGUUUUUUUAUUUGUGCAGUAAGCCAUUGGCUUAAAAAAUGUUUUAAGUGGGGAGCGCCUCUGCCCCGCCGCCCCAUCUGGGAUGUGAGGAGCGCCUCUGCCCGGCCGAGACCCCGUCUGGGAGGUGAGGAGCGUCUCUGCCC